rnacentral:rRNA from 1 species
AACAGGAUUAGAUACCCUGGUAGUCCACGCCGUAAACGAUGUCGACUUGGAGGUUGUUCCCUUGAGGAGUGGCUUCCGGAGCUAACGCGUUAAGUCGACCGCCUGGGGAGUACGGCCGCAAGGUUAAAACUCAAAUGAAUUGACGGGGGCCCGCACAAGCGGUGGAGCAUGUGGUUUAAUUCGAUGCAACGCGAAGAACCUUACCUACUCUUGACAUCCAGAGAACUUAGCAGAGAUGCUUUGGUGCCUUCGGGAACUCUGAGACAGGUGCUGCAUGGCUGUCGUCAGCUCGUGUUGUGAAAAGUUGGGUUAAGUCCCGCAACGAGCGCAACCCUUAUCCUUUGUUGCCAGCGGUUCGGCCGGGAACUCAAAGGAGACUGCCAGUGAUAAACUGGAGGAAGGUGGGGAUGACGUCAAGUCAUCAUGGCCCUUACGAGUAGGGCUACACACGUGCUACAAUGGCGCAUACAAAGAGAAGCGACCUCGCGAGAGCAAGCGGACCUCAUAAAGUGCGUCGUAGUCCGGAUCGGAGUCUGCAACUCGACUCCGUGAAGUCGGAAUCGCUAGUAAUCGUAGAUCAGAAUGCUACGGUGAAUACGUUCCCGGGCCUUGUACACACCGCCCGUCACACCAUGGGAGUGGGUUGCAAAAGAAGUAGGUAGCUUAACCUUCGGGAGGGCGCUUACCACUUUGUGAUUCAUGACUGGGGUGAAGUCGUAACAAGGUAACC